AAUUAAACUUGAUAUGCAUAAAGCUUAUAAUCAAGUAGAUUGUGCUUUUCUUCAGCAAGUGCUCAUUAGUUUUGGUUUUAAUGUUGCUUGGGUUCGAACUAUUAUGCAGUGUAUAACUACAGUUAGCUUCUCUAUCCUGCUAAAUGGUUUCCCAUCUCAGCCUUUCAUUCCUUCCAAAGGAUUGCGGCGGGGUGGCCCUUUGUCACCAUAUCUUUUCCUCUGUGUCAUAGCUCUCUCUUGCCUGAUCCAGCGUGCAAAACAGGAAAGGCUUAUCCAAG
rnacentral:misc_RNA from 1 species